rnacentral:rRNA from 1 species
UACGGAGGAUGCAAGCGUUAUCCGGAAUGAUUGGGCGUAAAGCGUCCGCAGGUGGCAAUGUAAGUCUGCUGUUAAAGAGUCUAGCUCAACUAGAUAAAAGCAGUGGAAACUACAUAGCUAGAGUACGUUCGGGGCAGAGGGAAUUCCUGGUGUAGCGGUGAAAUGCGUAGAGAUCAGGAAGAACACCAGUGGCGAAGGCGCUCUGCUAGGCCGUAACUGACACUGAGGGACGAAAGCUGGGGGAGCGAAUGGG